rnacentral:rRNA from 1 species
UACGUAGGUGGCAAGCGUUAUCCGGAUUUACUGGGUGUAAAGGGCGUGUAGGCGGGACUGCAAGUCAGAUGUGAAAACCACGGGCUCAACCUGUGGCCUGCAUUUGAAACUGUAGUUCUUGAGUACUGGAGAGGCAGACGGAAUUCCUAAUGUAGCGGUGAAAUGCGUAGAUAUUAGGAGGAACACCAGUGGCGAAGGCGGUCUGCUGGACAGCAACUGACGCUGAGGCGCGAAAGCGUGGGGAGCAAACAGG